rnacentral:rRNA from 1 species
UUUAUGGAGAGUUUGAUCCUGGCUCAGGAUGAACGCUGGCGGCGUGCCUAAUACAUGCAAGUCGAGCGAACGGACGAGAAGCUUGCUUCUCUGAUGUUAGCGGCGGACGGGUGAGUAACACGUGGAUAACCUACCUAUAAGACUGGGAUAACUUCGGGAAACCGGAGCUAAUACCGGAUAAUAUUUUGAACCGCAUGGUUCAAAAGUGAAAGACGGUCUUGCUGUCACUUAUAGAUGGAUCCGCGCUGCAUUAGCUAGUUGGUAAGGUAACGGCUUACCAAGGCAACGAUGCAUAGCCGACCUGAGAGGGUGAUCGGCCACACUGGAACUGAGACACGGUCCAGACUCCUACGGGAGGCAGCAGUAGGGAAUCUUCCGCAAUGGGCGAAAGCCUGACGGAGCAACGCCGCGUGAGUGAUGAAGGUCUUCGGAUCGUAAAACUCUGUUAUUAGGGAAGAACAUAUGUGUAAGUAACUGUGCACAUCUUGACGGUACCUAAUCAGAAAGCCACGGCUAACUACGUGCCAGCAGCCGCGGUAAUACGUAGGUGGCAAGCGUUAUCCGGAAUUAUUGGGCGUAAAGCGCGCGUAGGCGGUUUUUUAAGUCUGAUGUGAAAGCCCACGGCUCAACCGUGGAGGGUCAUUGGAAACUGGAAAACUUGAGUGCAGAAGAGGAAAGUGGAAUUCCAUGUGUAGCGGUGAAAUGCGCAGAGAUAUGGAGGAACACCAGUGGCGAAGGCGACUUUCUGGUCUGUAACUGACGCUGAUGUGCGAAAGCGUGGGGAUCAAACAGGAUUAGAUACCCUGGUAGUCCACGCCGUAAACGAUGAGUGCUAAGUGUUAGGGGGUUUCCGCCCCUUAGUGCUGCAGCUAACGCAUUAAGCACUCCGCCUGGGGAGUACGACCGCAAGGUUGAAACUCAAAGGAAUUGACGGGGACCCGCACAAGCGGUGGAGCAUGUGGUUUAAUUCGAAGCAACGCGAAGAACCUUACCAAAUCUUGACAUCCUUUGACAACUCUAGAGAUAGAGCCUUCCCCUUCGGGGGACAAAGUGACAGGUGGUGCAUGGUUGUCGUCAGCUCGUGUCGUGAGAUGUUGGGUUAAGUCCCGCAACGAGCGCAACCCUUAAGCUUAGUUGCCAUCAUUAAGUUGGGCACUCUAAGUUGACUGCCGGUGACAAACCGGAGGAAGGUGGGGAUGACGUCAAAUCAUCAUGCCCCUUAUGAUUUGGGCUACACACGUGCUACAAUGGACAAUACAAAGGGCAGCGAAACCGCGAGGUCAAGCAAAUCCCAUAAAGUUGUUCUCAGUUCGGAUUGUAGUCUGCAACUCGACUACAUGAAGCUGGAAUCGCUAGUAAUCGUAGAUCAGCAUGCUACGGUGAAUACGUUCCCGGGUCUUGUACACACCGCCCGUCACACCACGAGAGUUUGUAACACCCGAAGCCGGUGGAGUAACCUUUUAGGAGCUAGCCGUCGAAGGUGGGACAAAUGAUUGGGGUG